AACUAGCUAGUCUAAAUGGACGUUUAUUUUGAAAAUAGGAGGUAAUGUAUAAAGUCAUUGCUAGUUU
rnacentral:tRNA from 1 species